rnacentral:rRNA from 1 species
GACGAACGCUGGCGGCGUGCUUAACACAUGCAAGUCGAACGGAAAGGCCCUGCUUUUGUGGGGUGCUCGAGUGGCGAACGGGUGAGUAACACGUGAGUAACCUGCCCUUGACUUUGGGAUAACUUCAGGAAACUGGGGCUAAUACCGGAUAGGAGCUCCUGCUGCAUGGUGGGGGUUGGAAAGUUUCGGCGGUUGGGGAUGGACUCGCGGCUUAUCAGCUUGUUGGUGGGGUAGUGGCUUACCAAGGCUUUGACGGGUAGCCGGCCUGAGAGGGUGACCGGCCACAUUGGGACUGAGAUACGGCCCAGACUCCUACGGGAGGCAGCAGUGGGGAAUAUUGCACAAUGGGCGGAAGCCUGAUGCAGCAACGCCGCGUGCGGGAUGGCGGCCUUCGGGUUUUAAACCGCUUUCGCCUGUGACGAAGCGUGAGUGACGGUAAUGGGUAAAGAAGCACCGGCUAACUACGUG